CUUAUUUAUUUGUACAAAAAAAUCAGCCAGUAGUCAUUGGAUACUGUAGAUCAUUCAGGUAGUCUUGACCUAUUUAUUUGUACCAAAAAAAAACCAGCUAGUGGUCAUUGGAUACUGAAGAUCAUUCAGGUAGUCUUGACUCUUGAUCUAUUCAUUUGUACUAAAAAAAAAAAACAGUCAGUUGUCAUCUUCACUUCACACACACA
rnacentral:lncRNA from 1 species